GGCCUUAUGGUCUAGUAGCAUGAUUCCUCGUUUGGGUUGAACCUCGAGGAGGUCCUGGGUUCAAUUCCCAGUGAGGCCC